ensembl:lncRNA
CGGGACGCAUGGACCUGUACAGAAGGCGGGACGUCAGUCAGUGCGCAUGGCAAUGGCCUCUCGGGAUCAUUCCUCACGGCCUAAAUUAAACGUGUCCUCCAGUUGGAGGCCUGGCCGGGCUGUUGUCAUGGGAACGCUGGUUUUCUUAUGCGCGCGUUCAACACACCGAGGCGAGGAUUAAUCCGUCCGAAUAGAAACUUAAGUAAUGUAAACACGACGGUUUGACUGUUUAAACCAACCACGGUCUGAACCACGGUAUGAUGGUUUGAGGCAGAGUUUGAUCGUUAGAACCACAGUUUGGUGGCUUGAACCACGGUUUGAUGGUUGGAACCGAAUACGUCGACCACCCCGUCGUUCUCGAGGGCCGCUGAGACGAAGAUAGGUCACGACAGGGUCGUGAUGAGACGCAUGGCUGGCCGCCAUCGGCUCUCCAGAGGAAAGCGCCUGGGAAUAACCUGGACGACCCAAACAAAGAUGGAGAUGUUCCUCUUAUGGGGCCCAGUGGAUCUGAUGCCCUCCUGGGAGGUUCUCCGGCCCAGCAGUCCCCACAUCCUGGAGCCUGCAGGAAGAGAAGGAACCCCCCCCCGUUAGCAUCUGAAGAACGGAACGAGCUGCUGUCGACCUACGGGCUCUGAUCACCACUCCCACACCAGGCUGACCUUUGACCCGCACAGACCGCCUCCCAGCGCCAAGUGGACCCCGGCAGGGUUCGGAGCUAAUCGCUAAAGCGGAGUUGAACUGCUGACACCAGGGUUGCUUAAAUCAGCGCUGCGCCCAGCGGGAUCUGAGGGUAGGAGAUGAUAAAGACUGUGGUGAUGAAGACUGUUGGUGAUGGAGACUUCGCUUUUCAUCCUGGAGUACCCACCUAUCACAGAAGAAUCUCUUGUGAGAAAACACACACACACACACAUCCCAACACAUACACCAACACAUACACCAACACAUCAUCACACACCAUCACACACACAGCAACACACCAUCACACACACGCAUACACACACACGCCAUCAUACAGACACACACAGAUACCAUUUGUGUUCCCGUUGCUUGAACAUGUUUUGCAAAACUUGGCACAUUGUGUUAAAACUCAACACACAAGCAAAUAAGACCCAAUACUGAGAAAUAUACCAUUCACAUCUAUGUCAAAUUUUAACUCUUUGUCAAAAUGUCACUGAUGAAAAAA